CACUCUGGGAGUCUGCUGUGUUCCAGGGCUGCUUUCUGAGGGUUCUGCCUGGCUGAUUUGUGUCCCCUCCCCAGGGCCCUCUUCCCCAGACGGGGGGAGAAAUGAAUUCCUUCUUCUCUGACACAUCCUUCCUUGGCUUAAAACCCUUCUGUGAUCCCUUUGUGCUCAGGAUAAAGCCCUUUUCCCCUUUCUUUGCCAGGCUUCGAGGCCCCCUGCCUGCCUGGCCACCCUGACCCCUCACACUGCCUGCUCACACUCUGCUCUCUUCCUCCCUAUUCUGUCCUACCUGAUGGGCCCUUCUGCUUUCUUAGUCCUGUUUACUCCCAGGUCUCCACUUAGAAGUGUCUUUCCCCAGGAAGCCCCGCUGGUGGGCUUCCCUACCAUCCAGGCUCAUCCUGGUUACAGCACCCACCUGCUCUUUGAAAUGGAAGGUUUAUGUGUCUGUCUCUCUUGCCCCUGAAAGGGAAGAAUCAUGCCUUGUUCACUGUUGUAGCUUCUCACCUAGGACAGAGCUUGGCCCUAGAAUGUGUUUGGCAAGUGGAUGAAUGAAUGAAUGAAUGAAUGAGAGCAUCACCCUUGGAUCAGGCUGCCUUGAUUGGCACUGCAGACUCUGUUGGCUGCCAAUGUCAAAUCCAGUCUCCCCAUCCUGGUAUCUGUGCUCCAUGGAGGUAAGUCAGGAGCAAAUCCUGAUGGGACUGAGCUGGUUGAGUUUAUCUAAUUUUCCUUGCCAGUGACUGAUCUAGAGAUGAGUGCAUGACCUGAUUCUCCCCAUGAGAAGCAAGAAGAGGUCUGAGAAGCAGGCCUAGAGGUUGCUCCUUAUUCCUAACGGAUGGGGCCUGCAGAUCCUGUGUUCUACAUCUGUGGAUCCAUCAAGAUUGUUUAGCAGGAAUUAAAAAUAAUAAGGCCCUGGCCCAGAGGGGGAUGCUGCGGCUACGACCAGUCAGCUCAGUGGACCCCGUGUGGAAUGCUUGUGCCAUUGCUGGGGAGAGGUGGCUGUCUCCCAUUGGUGUCCACCAUCAACCAAUGUGGCUGGCGGGAGUAAGGAAACCCCUCCAUGGUG
rnacentral:lncRNA from 1 species